rnacentral:lncRNA from 1 species
CAGCUUUUCUCUCUUGGCAUUACAGACAUUACAUCCCUGACUUUUGAUGGUCCAACAUUAGACUUUUUCAAUUUCACCAUGGUUUGAAAGUAAUAUACAUGCAGUAAAAACAAUACUUCAUUUUCCCCCAUGCUGAGGAUCCAACUCAGGACUUUUCACAUGCUAGGCAAGUGCUCAACCAAGAUAAGGGCUGGGAUAUAGCUCAGUGGUAGAAUGGUUGCCUAGCAUGCACAAGGCCUUGGUUUCAGUUUCCAGUACCGCAAAAACAAAAGCUGGACAUGGUGGUACACACCUGUAAUCCCAGUGACUGAAGAGGCUGAGGUAGGACAAGUUUAAGGCCAUCCUGGGCAGCUUAGUGAGGCUCUAAGCAACUUAGUUAGACCCUGUCUCAAAAUAAAAAAUUAAAAAGGGUUGGGGAUGUAGCUCAAUGGUAAAGCACCCCUGGGUUCAACCCCUAACACCAAAACAAUACUGAACCACGCCCCUAGCUUGUCAACUUCCUGUGGGUUUAUUGGACAUAACCUCAUCUUAAGUUUGGGCAUGUCUAUUUUCUUUGCUUUGUCACUUCUCGUUUUUUCCCCUACAUUUUUUAUUGGUACAUUAUAGUUGUACAUUUUGAAAGGAUUUUUUAAAUUAAGUGUUUGCACAUGCACACAAUGUGUCUCUUCUCUUGAAACUUAGUGGCCUUUUGUACAUCCUUAGUGUGUUAGUUUUCUAUUGCUGCCAUAAUAAAUUUUCACAGAUUUAGGAGCCUAAACUAAAUAAAUGUAUUUUACUGUUGUGUAGGUCAGAAAUCCAACACUGAUCACUAGGCUGAAAUCAAGGUGUCAGCAGGCCUUCCUUCUGGAGAUUCUGAGAGAGGGUCUACAUCUUUGCUUGUUAGAUUGUUGGCAGAGUUCACUUUCUUGUGGUGGUGGGACUGAGAUUUGUUUCCUUGUUGGCUGUCAGCUGAAGCUAUUUCCUGUUUCCAAAGAUCACUUACAUCCCUUGGCUCAUUGUCUCCUCGCCUUUUCAAAACCAGCUAUGACAGGUUGUAUGUGUCUUCUUCAUGCUUUAAAUCUCAUCUCUUUCUUCCAUCUCAUUUCAACCUUCUACCAUUGUCAUCUAUAUUUAUGGACUUGUA